GAUGAACGCUGGCGGCGUGCCUAACACAUGCAAGUCGAGCGGCAGCGAGGGGUGCUUGCACCCUGUCGGCGAGCGGCGGACGGCUGAGUAACGCGUGGGAACGUGCCCCAAAGUGAGGAAUAACUGCCCGAAAGGGUAGCUAAUACCGCAUAUUAUCUUCGGAUCAAAGGAUUUAUCCGCUUUGGGAGCGGCUCGCGUCGGAUUAGGUAGUUGGUGAGGUAAUGGCUCACCAAGCCGACGAUCCGUAGCUGGUCUGAGAGGAUGACCAGCCAGACUGGAACUGAGACACGGUCCAGACUCCUACGGGAGGCAGCAGUGAGGAAUCUUCCACAAUGGGCGAAAGCCUGAUGGAGCAACGCCGCGUGCAGGACGAAGGCCUUCGGGUUGUAAUCUGCUUUUAUAAGUGAGGAAUAUGACGGUAACUUAUGAAUAAGGAUCGGCUAACUACGUG
rnacentral:rRNA from 1 species